rfam:Ornithinibacillus halophilus strain IBRC-M 10683 genome assembly, contig: Ga0104432_1102
UGACUCCUACUUGGUAAGAUAUAGCCAAAUCGCCAAUACCGAGUCUUGGGCUACCUGCAGUAAUGCAGGGUGCUAAGCGUAGACAGGGAGGUAAUAGGCCUGAA